UUCUUCCUCCUCUUCUUCCUUCUUUCUUCUUUCUUCUUCUUUCUUCUUCUUUCUUCUUCUCCUUCUCCUUCUCCUUCUCCUUCUCCUUCUCCUUCUCCUUCUCCUUCUCCUUCUCCUUCUCCUUCUCCUUCUCCUUCUCCUUCUCCUUCUCCUUCUCCUUCUCCUUCUCCUUCUUCUUCUUCUUCUUCUUCUUCUUCUUCUUCUUCUUCUUCUUCUUCUUCUUCUUCUUCUUCUUCUUCUUCUUCUUCUUCUUCUUCUUCUUCUUCUUCUUCUUCUUCUUCUCUCUCUCUCUCCCUCUCCCUCCCCUUCCCUUCCUCUCCUCUUUUUCCCUCUCCCUCCCUGUCCCCCCCCUCAUCUUUUAUCCCUGGAUUCAGAUUUUGGGUCCUUUAUUCAAAUGAUCCCCACUUAAAUUUAUUAACAAUCAAAUUUUCAUUUUUUGUCUAUGAUCAGAGUAAAUUACAUUCAUCUUAUAUCAUAGAACAGUUGUUCUGGUGUCUGUAUUGCUUUGGUAUACUAUAACUAUUCAUAUUUUAAAAGAGCAAUCAUGGAACUUUGAAUUAGAGUAUACUUUAGUACCUAUUUCCAAGCAAAUCUGUCACUCAGAUGUGUGAUCUGUGAAAAGACUUAAUUCAGUGAUAAUCUGUUCCACAUGAAAGGACAAUACCUUAAAGGAGCAUUAAUUUACACUUAUCAGUAUAUGCAUUUAUAAAUGUAAUUGUCCAUUAAACC
rnacentral:lncRNA from 1 species